AUUGAACGCUGGCGGCAGGCCUAACACAUGCAAGUCGAACGGUAACAGGAAGCAGCUUGCUGCUUUGCUGACGAGUGGCGGACGGGUGAGUAAUGUCUGGGAAACUGCCUGAUGGAGGGGGAUAACUACUGGAAACGGUAGCUAAUACCGCAUAACGUCGCAAGACCAAAGGGGGGGACCUUCGGGCCUCUUGCCAUCGGAUGUGCCCAGAUGGGAUUAGCUAGUAGGUGGGGUAAAGGCUCACCUAGGCGACGAUCCCUAGCUGGUCUGAGAGGAUGACCAGCCACACUGGAACUGAGACACGGUCCAGACUCCUACGGGAGGCAGCAGUGGGGAAUAUUGCACAAUGGGCGCAAGCCUGAUGCAGCCAUGCCGCGUGUAUGAAGAAGGCCUUCGGGUUGUAAAGUACUUUCAGCGGGGAGGAAGGGAGUAAAGUUAAUACCUUUGCUCAUUGACGUUACCCGCAGAAGAAGCACCGGCUAACUCCG
rnacentral:rRNA from 1 species